ensembl:rRNA 5S_rRNA 5S ribosomal RNA
GUCUAUGGCCAUGCUACCCUGAACAAGCUCGAUCCCAUCCAAUCUUGGAAGCUAAACAGGGUUGGUCCUGGUUAGUACUUGGAUAGUAGACCACCUAGGAAGACUAGGUGCUAUAGGCA